GAUGAACGCUGGCGGCGUGCCUAAUACAUGCAAGUCGAGCGAACGGACGAGAAGCUUGCUUCUCUGAUGUUAGCGGCGGACGGGUGAGUAACACGUGGAUAACCUACCUAUAAGACUGGGAUAACUUCGGGAAACCGGAGCUAAUACCGGAUAAUAUUUUGAACCGCAUGGUUCAAAAGUGAAAGACGGUCUUGCUGUCACUUAUAGAUGGAUCCGCGCUGCAUUAGCUAGUUGGUAAGGUAACGGCUUACCAAGGCAACGAUGCAUAGCCGACCUGAGAGGGUGAUCGGCCACACUGGAACUGAGACACGGUCCAGACUCCUACGGGAGGCAGCAGUAGGGAAUCUUCCGCAGUGGGCGAAAGCCUGACGGAGCAACGCAGCGUGAGUGAUGAAGGUCUUCGGAUCGUAAAACUCUGUUAUUAGGGAAGAACAUAUGUGUAAGUAACUGUGCACAUCUUGACGGUACCUAAUCAGAAAGCCACGGCUAACUACGU
rnacentral:rRNA from 1 species